GACGAACGCUGGCGGCGUGCUUAACACAUGCAAGUCGAACGGAAAGGCCCUUCGGGGUACUCGAGUGGCGAAUGGGUGAGUAACACGUGGGUGAUCUGCCCUGCACUUCGGGAUAAGCCUGGGAAACUGGGUCUAAUACCGGAUAGGACCACGCGCUUCAUGGUGUGUGGUGGAAAGCUUUUGCGGUGUGGGAUGGGCCCGCGGCCUAUCAGCUUGUUGGUGGGGUAAUGGCCUACCAAGGCGUCGACGGGUAGCCGGCCUGAGAGGGUGUCCGGCCACACUGGGACUGAGAUACGGCCCAGACUCCUACGGGAGGCAGCAGUGGGGAAUAUUGCACAAUGGGCGCAAGCCUGAUGCAGCGACGCCGCGUGGGGGAUGACGGCCUUCGGGUUGUAAACCGCUUUUAGUAGGGAAGAAGGGCUUCGGCUUGACGGUACCUGCAGAAAAAGGACCGGCUAACUACGUGCCAGCAGCCGCCGUAACAC
rnacentral:rRNA from 1 species